rnacentral:lncRNA from 1 species
AGGCCUGGUGCGUAAGUCUACCCCACACAGUCCUUUGCGAUUUUCCUCUCCCACUUUGGGAGCCAGUGGAUGAAGAGGGUGGAACCAUAGAAUAGAAGGAACCCAGAUACAGAUCACUGUUCAGAGGAGAGCUGCCUGCCAGUCAGGAAGACCCAUUUUGGACUUUAUAAAUGCUCUGACCUUAAAAGGAAUAUUGGAGGCAGGAGGAAACAGAGGAAGCAAGAAGAAUUUCCUGGAAGGAAGAUGACCACGGCCCCUCUGUUCCCUCGCCUGUGUGCCAAAUGGAUCCACAGCUAGAGACAAGCUCCUUCCCUUUGAACGGUGGGAAGCAGGCCAAGAUGUUUUAAAGACAGAUGGCAUCAGAUGCAGAGAAGCAAGCUGGAACUCGGAGCACAGCUGCCUUAUUUACUUACCUACUGGCUGCAUUUCUGAGAACCAGUUUUAUUCCUGUUCAAAGGAAGCCAGGCAGAGUUGGGAAAAUAUUUUCCUAGCCAGCUCCUUAGCACCACUGUCUGAGGGAAACCAUCUGGCCAAGAUGCCCUUCAAACUUCUUCUCGGCGCUGCAUUUUGAAUUGUUUCUACUAGUGUAUCUUGAAGUUUACUAAGCUUUUCUUCUGGAGUGUCUAAGAUGCUGUUCAUCUCGGCCAGUAUUUUUUCAUCUGUAGAAUUUAAUUCAGUCUUUUUUUAUGUUCUCCAUAUCUCUCCUUAACAUGCUCAUACAUUCUUCUACCUUUGUGAACACAUGGAGUAUAUUAUCACUUUUUAAUAUUCUGCUCCGCAUAAUUCUAGCAUCUGUAUCAUUUCUGUUUCAGUCAAUUUAUUUUUCUUCUUAUUCUGGGUCAUAUUUUCUUUUUGUUUUGUUUUGUUUUGUUUUCAGAAAGAGUCUCGCUCUGUCGCCCAGGUUGGAGUGCAGUGGCACGAUCUCGGCUCACUGAAACCUCCGUCUCCCGGGUUCAAGCGAUUCUCCUACCUCAGCGUUCCGAGUAGCUGGGACUACAGGUGCGCACCGCCACGCCCGGCUAAUUUUUGUAUUUUUUUGUAGAGACGGGGUUUUGCCAUGUUGCCCAGGCUUGUCUCGAAUUCCUGAGCUCAAGCAGUUCGCCCGCUUUGGCCCCUCAAAGUGUUGGGACUACAGGUGUAAGCCACUGUGCCCGGCCCUGGGUCGUAUUUUCCUGCCUCUUUGUAUGCCUGUUAAGGUUUGAUUGGAUGCCAGAUGUGGCUGGAAAGGUCACUCAUGAUUAGUUACUUCUACUAAUUCUCUGACUUCAUCUUCUAAUCUCCACCCCUCCCAGGUCUCUGAUUUUGCCACCCUGAACUUCUUGCACACUUCCUCGUUCAUUUGCACAUGCUGUCCCCUUUCUCUGGGGCACUCUUCCCUAGGCGGUCCCCAUGGGUUUCUCCCUAACUUCAUUUGGGUCUGUGUUCAAAUGUCACAUUACCAAAAACAUUCUAUCACCUUUCCUUGCUUUAUUUGCCUUUAAACAUUUAUAACCACUUGCCAGCCAUGUUACUUACUGAUUGUCUAUUUUUACCUCACCGCCCACCUCUGCUAAAAUGUACCAUGACAGCAUCACCGAGAACUACUGCCAUCAGCUAUAUAAUGAAACUAUUUUUAAGCAACAACAACAGCAGCAGAGAAGAGGGACCAACAGGGUCCAAUGCAUCAGAGGGGUCCAAACUGGUAAGCACUGAAAAAUAUCUAUUGAAUCGGACAAUUAGGAGGACUAACCUCCUCAAGAGUAAGUUCCUGCAGUUUGCUGGAUAAAGGGCAUCAGAGCGCCGUGGGUUGGGUUGAGGACAUCUUCUCCCUUACAGCCUCCUGGUUCUUCUCUCAGAAAAACUUCUCCUCCUUCCCAGCUCAAUCCUAUUUAUUUAUUUUAAAAUUUAUUGUGUAUAUUUAAGGUAUACAACAUGCUGUUAUAGGAUACACAUAGUUAGUAAAAUAUUUACUAUAGCAAAGCAAAUGAACAUCUCUGUCGUCUCCGCACAGUUACCCAUUUUUGUUGCUUUUGUGGCAAGAGCAGCUACAAUCUAGUCAUUUAGUAGGAAUCCCAAGUACAGUGCGAUUUUAUGACCUACAACCAUCAUGGUGUACAUUAGAUCUCUCCACACACCUGUUACAUUGUAUCCUCUGACCUACGUCUUCCCAUUUCUUCCUCCCAUUCCUCCCCAGCCUGCUUCCACCCCAGUAACUGCUGUUUUAUUAUCUGCGUCUGCACAUUUGAUUUUGUUUUUAGAUUCCACAUGUAAGUGACAUCAUGCACUAUUUUUUUUUCCUGUCUGACGCAUUUCACUCAGCAUAGUGUCUUCCAGGUUAAUCCAUGUUGUGCCAAACGACAGGACCUUCUUUUUAAAGGCUGAAUAAUAUUCCAUUGUAUACAGAUGCCACAGUUUUUUAAAUCCAUUCCUCCAUCGACACUUGGGUGGUUCCAUAUCUUGACUAUUGUGAAGAAUGCUGCGUGAAAAUAGAAGUGCAGCCUGAGCUUUUGCUGCGAUCUCCAAAAAAUCAUUGCCAG